CAGCCGCCGCGGUAAUACGAAGGGUGCAAGCGUUACUCGGAAUUACUGGGCGUAAAGCGUGCGUAGGCGGCUUGGUAAGUUAGAGGUGAAAGCCUGGAGCUCAACUCCAGAAUUGCCUUUAAGACUGCCGAGCUAGCAGGUGAGAGAGGUAAGUGGAAUUCCGAGUGUAGAGGUGAAAUUCGUAGAUAUUCGGAAGAACACCAGUGGCGAAGGCGGCUUACUGGCUCAUACUGGACGCUGAGGUGCGAAAGCGUGGGGAGCAAACAGGAUUAGAUACCCGUGUAGUCCCUGUCUCUUAUAC
rnacentral:rRNA from 1 species